GAUCGUGAGGACCAUCAGCAACCUCAUGUCGCCGAGGAACGACGGCGCGGGCGCGGGCAAAGGGGCGUCAGGCCGCACCAGCUUCGGCGCCUACAACUGACGCUCUCAAAGACGCCAUCGAGUGUCUGUCAGAUUAGCUUUUUACUUGGUAACUUCAUACCAAGUCUUCUCCCCCGAUUGUACAGAGUUCUGCGAUUGUACAAAUGAAUAGAGAUGUUAUGUGCAAUUUCGUUUGCGGUUUACUGUCACUUUGAGAUGCAGUGCUCUUUUUUCUUCUUCUUGAACGCUAUAAUUUGGCUGUGGGUAGAACGCACGACUGAACAAAUACAGACUGAAGGUGAUUCAGACUUUCAGAGGCUAGCAGUGUUAGAGAACACGCGAAAGAUCAAUGCAAAAAAUAGGUGCGAGGACAUUUAUCCCUUCUUAGGGGUGUUAUUGUGUAAGAAGUCCACUUAGUCGUUUGUGUUAAAAAAAAUUGUGAGCUGCCCUUUAGGCAUUUAUUCAUUGUUUGGCGGAACAGUCUCUGAUUGAACAACCUCAAUCAGGUGACCAGGAAUUACAUCAAAGAUAAUAAGAGAGCUAACAGAGAGAUUAAGUGCUUCUCUAGCACACAAAUGUGCAACAUGUUUCCACACAAUGGGCAUAUUGCAUACUCCAUGACAUGUCUCCUGUUCAAUUCCCCGUAAGAGCGCAACAUGUAUUUGAGAACAGUCCAGAAAAAUACUCUGAUUUUCGGUUGCACCUUAAGUUUCCAUAGAGCUUUCCAACCGUCAAUUCCCCCAGAGGAACUGCUAGGUGUCUCGUCAGCAAGCUCUUAUGUUCCAUCAUCAUUUUAUACUAUAAGGUUUAUGCGUGCUUUGCUGCGUCGUUCGUGUUGUUGGCUUUCUUAAAAGAAUAACCACCCUACUUUAAAAUAUAAGGUGUAUUGCUUUUUUGAAAAGUCAAACUUUUAAGUUUGAUCAAAUUUAUAGAGAAAUAUAAAAUCCACAUUAUCAGAUUGAUACUUUUAGAUUCAUCACGAAAUGAAUUUCCAUGCCUUAUUUGUUUAAUAUUGUGGAUGUCGAUAUUUUUGCUCUAAACUUGGUCAAAGUUAAAGAAAUUUGACUUUAUAAAAAACGAACAUCCCUUAUAUUUUAUAACGGUGGAAUAUUUAGUUUGGCAGGUGGGGGAUAUGAUAGAGUCUGUUUUAUUUUUAUUUAUAAUGUUGUGUUAUUAUGUGUUAUCCGCCAACCAACCUAUAUUUAUGCGGGAAAAUUUUUGUGUCGGUGGUUGCAUGUAUUAUAUUGAUGCUACAAUAUCACAUGGUGACGUUUCUUUUUUCUAGGUGGUGGGAGGAUGCGCGGGAUUGAUAUAUUUUUAUAGGUCGGUUGCUACUGGUUGAUUUGAAAAACCGUUGGCCCGGUCAAAAUCGUAAAACAAAUCAAAAUUGAAUACCUCAAUAGAAUGAAAGAGCUUCAAAAUUUGAAAAUGUAGCGAAUUAAAAGAAUUAUAUGGGAGAACUUAAGAAACUAUUGACCCAUUCAAAAUUGAAUGACCCAACUCUAAAUUGAAUACCUCAAUUAAUUGUGCGACCUUAAAAAUUAGAAAGCAUGAUGUAUAGUGUAGAAGAAUUGAAUAAUGAAGCUUUGAGAAAUUGUUGACCCAAUCAAAAUUGAGUGACCCAAUUAUAAUUGGAGACCUCAAUCGAAUGUGGGCUCUUUAAAACUAGGGAGCUUAGUGUUAUAGAGGAUGCCGAUUUCACCGAAAAACUCCAUAGCGUUCCAUUCCCACGCCCAAAAAUCAUCUGACAUAACUCUCGGCCGAGGCAUUUGCAGGAUCGCUGUCACAUCCGGUGGUAUGAAAACCUGGGAGAGACUUGUGUGAUAUCUCACAUUAGAUGAGAUCUAUGAGAUCAAUUUUUUGGGAAAAAAAUACAUGUUCAAACAUUUUCAAAAAAAUUGUAGACACACAUCAAUGUUUAAUGUACAACCUCAAAAAGUUUCAGCUCCUAAUUCAACUCACAUUAAUAGAAACAAAGGAGACAAAAUCGGAUGUGAAUAGUGUCAAAGUACUAUUCAUCAAAACUGUCACUAUUCACAUUUGAAUUUUUCUUUUUUGAAUCUCCAAAUGUACAUUGAGUUUUGAGUUGAUUUUCUUCGAAGUUGUAGACAUACCCCAUAUGGAUGUUGUCAAAUAAUUUCAGAUUAUUUAUAAAUGUUUAAAUAUAAAUUUUUAAGGGUUGAUCUUAUGAUUGCACCUAAAUGUGAGAUCUCACACAAGUCUCCCCCCUAUUUGUCGGCCACCCAAGGAACCUGUUCAUCUUAUCGCAGACCUUCUGGACCAUACCACGGGAGAAUGGAAUGUGGAACUACUUCACAAGGUAUUCAUGGGGGAGACUUGUGUGGGAUCUCACAUUUAGGUGAGAUCGUAAGAUCAACCCUAAAAAUUAUAUUUAAACAUUUCCUGCAACAGGCCACGCCCCUGUAGGAUAGCUCUCCAAGUUUUUUAUGCACUCGAGGAACAACCAGCCUCCAAGAAGUUUCCAUCUCCCUAAUACCUUCCUCUUAAUACACGUGCACACAAACUUUCUGGUCUAUCCAGUAGCAGCCACGCUUGUUUAGCGAGCAUGGCAUCAUUAAAGGUCAUGAGGUCUCGGAACCCCAUACCUCCUUUGUACUGUGAAAUUGCCAUCUUCUCCCAAGCUUGCCAAUGCAUACCCUUCUUAUCUAAUGAUCCCGCCCACCAAAAUAUGGACAUAAUCCUUGUUAUUUUCUUGCACAACCCGUUAGUGAGUUUAAAACAACUCAUAGAGAAGGUUGGUAGUGUUCGGAUCACUGCUUUAAGAAGAACUUCUUUCGCUGCACAAGUCAUUUUCUUUUCACACCAUCCUUGUACCCUUGAUCUUGCGUGCUCCACAAUAUGCAUGAAAUGUUGUUCGGUAAUUCUACCUGCUGAUGCCGUUGGAAGACCAUGGUACUUUUCUAAGAGUGCCUCUCUACUGAUUUAUAGUACUCUCCGCACACCCCUCCGUAUAGACGGCCCCGAGUUGGGGCUGAAAAAUAUUGAGCUCUUUUGCUUGUUCAUACAUUGUCCAGAACCAAUACUAUAAGCCUCCAGGAUCUCGUUCAACCUAGUAGCACUCCUCCCGACCGCUUUCAUAAAAAUGAGACAAUCAUCUGUGAACAGGAGCUGAGAUAUCCAUGGGGCAGUAAGUCCCACUCUAAUUCCUCUAUCAAUCCAUCUCCCAUCAUAGUUUUUAAGCAAACACAAGAGCCCCUCUCCACAGAGGAGAAACAAAUAAGGUGAUAUGAGGUCUCCCAGUCGAAUUCCUUUGGAAGGAGUAAAAGAUAGUAAUAACUAACUGUCGUGGAAUUGUCACGACAGAUGUCCUAGUGAAAGGACUUAGUCGUGGAGCCACCGCAACUAGGAAGCUUAAAGGGGUUAAAAUGGGACAAAUGACACAGGGGUUUAUACUGGUUUGGCCCCUUGCGGUGAAGGUAAUGGCUUAAUCCAGUUUGAGGUGGGAUUGCUUAUGUCUCGAUUACCAGGGAGCGAAUCCGCUUGACCCAGUUCUCGAUCUGAUGUUAAUUGUCUUGAACCGCCGCCGGGUCAUCCCUUUUAUAUACAGAGGUUGACGCCCAGCCGCUCACAGAGUCCCGGCCGGCUCAUAAACAGUGUCCGGCUCGGUCUCUUUCCAUUCUUGCCUUACAAUACAAGUUACAUACAUAUGUCGGUUUAUCUCUACGGGCCUUGAGUCGCCUUUGGGCUUGGGGCCCUUAACUGAACCGCCAUCUUCAAGUGUCGUCUUGGGCUUCAUAUCUUGAAUCGCCAUAGGCAUAACCCGACCCCUCCUGGGUGGGUCAUACCUAAUAGUUAUAUCCCCAACAUUAGGCCCCAGAUUGAUUUGAACUGGUUCAUGUCAAUCUUAAACACUUGGAAAAAUCUUCUGCUCUUCAUUGUGCGAGAGUAUAUAACCCACCAUGACAUCAUCUUCUGGUUUUACAAUAACCCGCCAUGACGUCAUCUGUCAUUAAUUCACACUUUGUCCAACAUAUCUCAACGGAUCCUUAUCUUAAUGACCAUCCUAAAAAUCGAGGCGUCCUGGUAGCUGGAUAACCAUAUUUUCGGCCUCCUCAUUUUUCACGCCUGCUUAAGAGUCUUUCCUUAUAAAUAGGCACGACUGGUCUUUCCUCAUUCUCCUCCUUUCCAUCGUCUUCCACCUCUCGCACCCUUCUGCCACUCGAGCUCCGCCGCCACCACAGAGUGCUCCGUCGUCUUCGUCCAGGCCGCUGCAUCACCCUGAGCUGAUCCAGAGAACGGCGGCGACCCUCCACUGUAGCUAUAAGUUUUUUCCUUCCCGCACCUUACAUCCGCAUUAGGGUUUGCGAGUUUCUCUGUGUUCUUCGUAGUUCAUCUUCCAUGCUCGUACCGCGAACCUCUUUGAUCUAAAAAUGGUAUAUAACCAAUGCGGUAGUUGUUUUGUUUCCACUUUUGAUACCAGUAGAUCCCCUUUCCUAGAAGAAAAGAUCUUUUGAGAACUUAUGAACUCAUCUGUACUGGUUUUAGGUCUAGAUUUAUUUCCUUUUCCCGAACAGCCGUUGAUCCAAAAUAAUAGCUGCAGCCUGUGAAACUUGUUUGUAUAACACUUAGCCAAAAACUAUAUUUUGUCAGAUCCACCUAACCAUGGUGGCUCAAAUCAUCGGCUUAAAAUAGCAAUGCUCAAUAAAUAACAUCAACCACUCAUGGCAGCUUAAAUAAUUUGACUGCUCAUGGCAGUUUAAAUAACCUGACAUAAUUUAGCCAUAUACUAUUAGGCCCCUUCAUAAGCCACCAUUUUGAACAUGCAUUGUAAUUCUGUUCCUCCGACUUAAAUUUGAACCAGCCAUUGUUAUUCUUUGUUUUGGCUUCUUUCUCCACAAUGCCUCCCAAAGCAAGCACUUCAUGCAACUGGGUCAAAUCCAUCGUUACAGAUAGUACCCUUGAUGACUUUGUGAAAACCGGCUAUCUACCAAAGAAGGAGGUCAUGUCAUACCGCGCUCCUGAUCCAACCAAAGAAAAACCUCAGCCCAAAGAAGGGGAAGUCGUCGUUUUCACUGAUCACAUGAUCUGCGGCUUUUCGCCACCCGACUCAAAAUUCUUCUGAGAUGUUCUGCAGUUCUUCGACCUCCGUCCUCAAGACAUCGGACCCAACUCCAUGUCUAAUAUUUGCAACUUUCAAGUAUUUUGUGAGGUGUAUCUUGAAGAAGAACCCAGCUUGCUACUCUUCAGAGAGUUGUUUUAUUUGAACCGCCAGAAUGAAUGUGCCAAUGGACCUAGCUUGGAGCUCGGCGGGGUCUCAAUCCAACGACGGAGAGACGCCAUUUUCCCUUAUGCGAAUCCACCAAGUCACCCCAAAGACUGGAACCAGACAUGGUUCUACUGCCAAGAUACUUCUCCGGCUGAUGAGAACCCUCUGCCCGGCUUUUGCGCCCUGCGCCUCGAGUCUAAUCAUCCUCUUCCAGAGAAGUUGUCAAGGCUCUUUUGGGGAACGGUUUAAAUGGUAUUGACUUGGUCCGGGUUUGGGUUGCCUGGCGGAUCAUUCUGUUGAGCCGCCCCUCCGGUUUGAUGUGCACCUACAUGGGCGAGAAGAAUGACCCUCUGCGGCACAGCCCGGACGAUUUACCUAACGACAUCAUCAAUGAUAUGACAAAGUCACUCUUGAAUGAAAGCUAAGCAAAUUGUGGCAAGGUGGGCUUAAGCCCCUUCUGCAAAGCUAACCCGGCUCCAGCGGUAAGCCGCCAAACUGAGUAAAUUACCUUCAUCCUUGAUGUUUUGUCUGUGCUCAAACCUUCGCUGAUUUUCACAGGCUGACGACAAAAUUUGGAAGACAAAGUAUGAUCAUGAGGUUGCGAAAAGAGCCAGGAAGGCCAAGAGAGCCACCAGGAAAGACGCCGCCAAGAAGAAAGGAAAGAAGGCCAGCACCUCUGACUUGCUUCGAUUAGAAGAUUCCUCUGAUUCGGAGGUAUCUCUUGACUCUCUUGGCUCCUUUUUUAAUCACCUUUUUGACACUGAUUAUCAUCAGGGUGACACAGGAACGAGUCGCGGAGUGGACGAAGAGGUAACUAUUAUUUCCUCCGACUUCGAGCCUUUGCCAAGACAGAAAAUCCAAAGAGUAACCCAGAAAGUAAGAUUUUCACAUCCCUUAGCUUAUCAGGAUCCUCAAUUUCUUUUGAAGUGACAGAUUCAUGAGAGCCGGAGGCAGACCCGGACCAGCAAGGACGCGGAACUCUCCUUCAGCUUACCUAACACACCAAAGAAGCACCGGAACGAGGUCACCUCCGACUUAAAUCCUUUUUAUCCUUUGGCGGGUCUCACUCAUCAACCACUCAAUUCUUCUGAUUCAAAUUAUCAGGAAACUUCACCUUCCUCCGGCGACUCAAUCCAGUCCAACAUGCCGGCUUUUAAGACCGCUCCAGGGUAACGAGGAUUUACUUAUCAUGUAUUCAUUUCAAUUCCUUACAUUGGUUGAUCUUUAUGUAGUGGAAAAGCCAAGCCCGGCAAGAGGGUGAAGAAGAACAAGUUGGCCAAAGAGACAACCUUCAACGAGCCGGAACUCCAAACAGCCGCACCUGAGACCUCUAUUCUUGAGCUGCCGCUUGAACCGGCUCAUGAUACACCAACGCCGACCGCUGACCCACCUGCCGAUCAAGCCGCCGAUGGCUCUGAAAACCCUGAAGUCUCUAGCCCGGCAAAGACAGCCGACCCACAAGAUGAUGAUGUGGAAAUUACCAAGACCGGUUAUACUGAGCCGGGGAGACCUACUGUGCUAGCCAAGUUCUCUGCCAAGGAAGAGCACUUGGAACAUCAUAAGGUCAGAUUUGAUGUUGCUGACUAUACUCACAUGAACAUUGGGGAAGUUUUCUGUGGCUAUCUUAGCCAAGUCCACAGCAGCCGUGACCUUAAAAUUGACAUGGUGAAACAAAUGCACUAGAAAUUUGAGGUAUAAACUCUUCCCUUCAUUGAAUCAUCUUUGCUAUGCCAGCCCCAAGUCUAUUGCUUAUGAUGAAUAUGUUGUAGACUUUAAACAAACUUAUAAGCAUCAGUAAUAUCCUUGGUAAGACCUGUAAAAAAUCCGGCUUAAACCGUAGUCCCCAAGGGCCGGUUUAAUCAACAUGAAUAAGCCGGUCCUUUACAUGCUUGUAUAGAAUAUAGUACUUGUGUAGAUUUAACAGCAAUAUGCAUUAGCCCCCAAGUGCCAAGUACUCUUGCUUGCAAAGUGCUUGGGACUUACUCUCAUGAACCGCCAGUUAGAUAGAAUCUUUUGGUAGACAUUAGCCCCCAAGUGCCAAGUGUUGUUGCUUGCAAAAGGCUUGGGACUUAAUAGUGCAUGCUGAUAUUCAUGAUUUUUGACCCGAUAUUUGUACAGGCCACCACUAGUCAACUUCAAUCAGAGCUGUCUGAAUUGAAGAACCGCCUGGAGUCACAAGAGACUGAAACCCAAAGGGAAAAUUCCAAAUUUGAAUUCAGUGUAUCGGAACAAGAGAAAUUGAAAGCCGACUUUGAAGUUGAGAAAAAGGCCUGGGCUGAAGAAAAGAUUGCCUUGACCCAACGAGCUGACAAAGCAAAGGAGGCUCUUGAAGAGGUGACCACUGAAUUGUCCGACUUAAAACGCCAUGUAUCUCAGAUGGUCUCAGCAAUCUUUGGUAAGCCGCCCUGCAAGUGUCAUGCGUUGAACCUUUCUGUUGAUCAUAUGAAUUGUUGUUUUGACUCAUCUGCUACUGCUAUCACUACUAGGGAAAAGCCUAUACACAGAAUCUUACCAGCAGCGCGCUUUAAAAUAAGGCGUUGCUGCUACGUAGCAGUAGCACGCUCAAACUUAACUCGCUACUGAAAUAAAUAUAGCAGUAGCGCGCCCGCUCAAAGACGCGCUACUGAUAUAAUUCCCACGAGGCCGCCGCGAGGCUAGUUCUAGCGGCAGCGCGUUAGCACGAAGAGCGCUACUGCUACUUAGCAUAGUAGUAGCGCAUUUCACCAAUAAGCGCUACUGCUAAGUUUACUACAAAAAUUUAGUCCCACGUCGCUCCGUGAAGAGAGUUUCUACCACCCUAAAUAUGUUACUUCUCAAACUUUGACAAGCACUUGGUCUUCAUUGAACUCUAUGUGUAGAAUUUGUGGCUGCAAUAUGAGUCUUCACCGGUUCCUAAACCAGUGAGGACUCAUAUUGACAAAUCAGAUUGUACACAAAAAUAUCGUUGAUGAUCAAUGUAUUUUUGAUACAUUGAAGUCUAUUUUUACAUGCUCACACAUAGCAGUAGCGCUUUCUUUGUGAAAGGCGUUGCUGCUAGGUAGUUUAGCAGUAGCGUCUUUCUCUAUAGCACGCUACUGCUAAGCCAUUCCAUCUCCCACCCCCCCUCUCCUCUAUCCGAUCCACUCACACUCACACACUCACUAGAUCCCCCCUCAACCCCCCGCGCCGGUCCUCCCCUGUCGCCCCUCCUCCCUCUGCGCCGCCGUCACCUCCUCCUCCUUGCUGGACUUGGUACCGGCCUCCUCCUCCGUCCUCCCUCCACUCACCGCUGGCCGGCCCCUCCUUGUUCCGCCUCCCUCCUCCGUCCUUCCUCCACUGGCCGCCGGCCGGCCCCUCCUCGCUCCGCCUUCCUCCUCCGUCCUACUCUCUUCUCCCUCCUCGAGUCACCCCUCCUUCUCCCUCCUCCCUGCUACAUUUUGAUUUAGUAGGCUAGUUCAUAUGCAACAUUUUGAUUUAGUUGAUAUGAUUUAGUUGAUUUAGUAGGCUAGUUGAUUUAGAACAUUUUGAUUAUUUGAUUUAGUAGACUAGUUGAUUUAGUUGAUUUAGUAUGCACCAUUUUAUUGUUAUUUUUUCUGUACAUGGAUAGGUAGAUGCUUUUGUUUUUUUGUAAUAAGUUACUUUUUGGCAAAAUGUAGGUGGUACCUUGUCAUCUAAUAUGUUACUAGAUCUUAGGAUUAUAAUUGUCCAUCAAAUUGCUUCUCGCGGAAGAACCAAAAAUAUCACAUGCUACUGUUUUUCUUUCCUGUGAAGUGGAUCGUUAAUCCUUUGCUCAUAUUGCUUUAGGAAAAAUGGCACCACCACCACCACCACUAUGUCGACUGUGCAAGUAAAGGUGCGCCAGCAGCCUUGCAACUGGCAAGUUGUUCGGCAUCUACUUCCAGCCGAGUUUUCGUCAUGAGGUGGUAAGAAAUUAGAUGAAAUGUAAUAACUAUUUUAUUUUUAGUGUUGGCAUUACUGCAUUGUGUCAUUUUGCUUAUUUUACACAGAUCGUCUCAUGCAAUGUGAGGUUGAAAUUCAACAAGCUGACAGGAGACACUGUGACAUUUGAGGCUCCUGGGGGGGUUGUACACUAUGUAGGUCGAGAAAGGAUGCAAUAUGUCACAUAUUGGAGGAGAUGGAUGGGCUCGUUUCAUCGCCCGCAUGCGUCUUACUGGUGGUGAGUUGAUCAGCUUCUCCUUCAGAGCAGAAAGACCCAAGUUGGCUGUCAUUUAUCUCAACCUGGUGGAAGAUGAUGAAGAUGACGAAGAUGAUGAAGAUGAUGAAGAUAAUGAGGACCCACUCGAUGAAGAUGAUGAGGACCCACUUCAUGAAGUCAUCGUAGCUCAAAGAACAAGGCUGAGCGAGGAGGAGGUGUCCAACCUGUGGGACAUAAUUCCGCCACGUGCUGACUUUGUCGGGGUGCCAUUCCUGACCCGCCUGACAAAUACCAUGGUUGAUCGACAUGAUAUGGUAUGUUAUACUUACAAAUUCAAAUUAUCCGAUGAAAUACUUAGUGUACAGUCCAAUGAUAUGGUAUGUUGUGUGGAAUCUAGUCGAUGAUAUGUUUUAGUGUAGAGUUCGAUCACAUGCUUAUUAGUGUAGAAUCUAAGGAACUAAUAGUGUAGAUAAUCCAUAUGUACUUAUUUGCGAGGCUAUUUAUUAAUUGAUAUGUUUUUCUUAUUCAGAAAUUGGCAAAGAGCCUAUCUGUGAGUUAUGGUAUUGAGCCUGAUGAAGAAGGCUCAGCUGGACUACGCCUUACUGCAGGGGGCUCUGUCAUAACCUGUACUUACCGCGUGGACACGGAUGGUCACACACACUUAAACUCGGUUGGGUGGAAGAAAUUCCUCGAUGGCAAGAAUCUUCGUGUUGGACAGGCCAUCCUAAUUACUAUCAGGAACACCAACCGCCCAGGCUUGAGGAUGAUGAUUGUCUUCGAUAUCAUCUAGAACUACAUAUGUGUGUGUGGCUAUAUCAUCUAGAACUACAUAUGAUGAUCGUCGUCGAUAUCAUCUAGAACUACAUAUGAUGAUCGUUGUCGAUAUCAUCUAGAACUACAUAUGAUGAUCGCCGUCGAUAUGACCUUGUACUGCUUGAGGAUGCAUGUUGACUAUGCAUGAAAUUGUUAUCUAGUACUCCCUUCGUUCCAAAUUACUCGUCGUGGUUUGAACUAAAAUCACGACGAGUAAUUUGGAACGAAGGGAGUACUACCUAGUACUUAUAAUGGUUUAUGAAUUUGAUAUCUAGUAGUAGUACCUAGUAUCUAGUAUCUGAAAGGGAAAGGCGUACGGGGGGAAAAUGAUGAAAGAUAUAGCAGUAGCGAGGGGCUGCGAAAUCGCUACAGCUAACUAAUAGUAGCGCGUUCGGCAAAAGCGCUGCUAAUAUCGUCAACAGUAGUAGCGCGGGUACGGACGGCGCUACUACUAUAAGUUAGCUGUAGCGCCUUAUUAGUAGCGCGGCUACCCACGCUGCUGCUAGCCUCAAAAACCGCGCUACUACUAGGGUUUUCUCUAGUAGUGUUUGCAGGCCCCAGGAGCACAAACCUUAAUCAGGACAUGCUGAUAACGCUGAAGGCGGUUUACAUGCUCGUGGAACAACUUUAUACUGGAUCUCAGCGUGCCUUAGCCACAGUUGCCCUGUCAAAUGAAGUCCCCACACUCCUGGUGGAUGUGCUAAAGAAGCUUUCUGUGUUGCCCCAGUGAUUCAGUGAAUUAAGGCGAUCGUCUGCGAGAGCCGGAGCCGUGGCUGCCUUAAGUCGGGCCAAAGCUUGGCUACCGGAGUUAGACCCGCCGACAUCACCAUUGGGUAUCCAAGCCUUAAGGAGGAUGGCACCUCAUUUGAACAGGAGGACUUCGCCGCUUGUGUGAAGGAAAUACGCCCUGUGGCCACCCUGAUUGCUGAUUAUAACCGCAUUGAUUACCUUGAGGGCCUUGAAAGUUGGAAUUUGAACCGCCGCUCGGGCCAUGAAAACCGCCGCCACCUGAGCCGCCGCCCGGCCCAUGACUGCCAUCAAAUAUGUUAGAGUUCUUGGAAGCCUUCAUGAUUGUACAGUCCUUCCAUAGGUGAGUGGCCGGUUUCUGCUGAGUACCGUGCCUUGGACAGGGCUCAUUUAGCAACUGCUCAAGAGUGGGACCUGACCCACCGGACCGAGGAGGUGGUCUCCCCUUAUGUCGUUGAUUGUUGCCCUGCGCAUUGGUGUUAGCCACAAACUCCAAGCUAUCGUCAGCCUUACGUUUAUUAUUGCCUCCUUGAUUUGCCGGGUUAUGCUGAGGACCCUUGGCAUUACCGCUCUUCUUUCCCUUUCCUGUCUUCUCAUCGUUAGACUCGGGAUCCUUGGUACUAUCAGAGUCGGCGUAUUUGACUAGAGCCGCCAUCAGCUGGCCCAUGUCAUUACAAUCGCGCUUGAGCCACCCCAGCUUCUGUUUCAGAGGCUCAAAACGACAAUUUUUCUCCAACAUUAAAACUAUAGAGCCGGCAUCCAUCAUAUCAGAUUAAUGUAUUAUGGCCUUGACCCAGCGCACCCAAUGGGUCGUGGACUCACCCUCCUCUUGCUUGCAAUAGGUCAGAUCCACAAUUGACAUGGGCUGCUUGCAUGUAUCUUUGAAGUUCUGAAUAAACCGGGCCUUUAACUCUGCCCAAGAACCAAUGGAAUUAGGUGGCAGUCCCUUCAACCAAGUACGGGUCGUUCCAUCCAACAUCAUGGUGAAGUAGUUGGCCAUCGCAACGUCACUGACUUUCAGUAGUUACAUGGCCAUCUCAUAGCUUUCAAUCCAUGCCCCAGGCUGUAAGUCGGCCGUGCAAUUAGGCACCUUUCGAGGCCCCUUGAAAUCCUUGGGCAAACGUUCAUUACGCAGAGCCGGCACCAGACAAGGGACACCUCCAGUCCUAGUGGUCAUGCCUGCCUCAAUAGAAGUCAUUGGAUAAAACAGAAAAUAUUGGUAAGCCACCCGCUGGGCCGCCUGCUCAGCCUCUUGACGUAUCCUGUCCUGAUCAAUAAAGUUAGGAGCUCCAUCAUGCGUCGGGUCAUGCCCGCACGGCUGGUCACAGCGUCGGGCGUUGCUUGAAACGACUGCUGAAUCCAUGUGCCUGCUGUAGCUCGGGCUCCGGCUUGGGCGAGGGGUCGAAUGAAGCUGUCUGAAGAAGUUCUCUGACCCUUUGUGUUUCAACCGCCGUUGGUGAGUCGCCAUCCACCGGGAGAGCCGCCAAUCAUGCUGCCGCAGCGAUCAUGUUCUCCAAAGGGUUAGAAUAAUGACCCGGUGGUGUUGGCACAUAGUAAGGUGGAGCAGUAUUCAGACGUGGAGGUUCCAUCACCCGUGGCUGAAACGGUGUACUAGCCCCGGGCGUUGCAACCCGGUUUACCUCUGGCGGGUUACUGGGGCCUGCACCGGGUAUACGGAAGAGGUUUCUAGGAUCAUAAACCGGAGGCAGACAAGAUUGAAUCUUCUGGUGCUUUCUCCUCACGACCUCAUUUGAUGCGUUCGGAUCCAUCGUAAGCCGAAGAGCCUUUGAUUGAAUCUGCUGGGCCCAAGCAUCCAGAGCCGCCCGCUCUGCGGCCAUCCUGACGUCCUCUACUGCUAAGUUUUCCUUGGCUUGUGCUACCUUCUCACGUAACCGCGCCACUUUUGCAUCAUGUUGAGCCUGAUCCACCGGAUUGACCACGACGGUUAACAGGGCUGUCAUCCUAUCCAUUAGAUCCAUCAGUGCCUGAGCCGGCGGUCGCGCAGGGCCUCCUGCCCCGGCUGCCGGGUCACCCGGAGGUUAUCGCUGCCGUAGUCGUAGAGUUUUGAACGGGUUGCUUGCUAGCCAUGAAGAUCCCAACUCUGCUCGGCGGCUCAAAGGGGUCCGGAAUACUGCUGCCAUCGGAACAGCCCCCAAGCCCGCCGUCUUGAAGUUGAUACAACGAAUAAGUCUCCCCCGUGGACGACUCACCAUCAGAGUAGAUGGCUGUCUCACCGCCAGAUACAGAUCCUUCAGAAAGUUCCCCUUCAUGGAUGCAUCCCACGAAGGCACGCUUCACGGUAGGCUGAGCCCGGGCGGGUCUCGCACGCUGAGCCGUCUCGACGAUGUCGGUGUAGAUGUCCGGCUCAGGGCCCGGCUCGCCGAUCUUGCCGAUGAAGACGUGGAUUCCGCCGAAGGGGACCCGGUACCCGUACUCAAUUGAGUCGGCGUCGGGUCCCCAGCCUGCGUCAUCGAUGUAGAGCUUGCCGCGACGACUCUUGGUCAUCCGGCCCACAGCGUAUCCCUUGAGUCCUUCGAAGCUGCCCUUCAAGAACUCAAAUCCACCGUGCGCUGGUCCCAUGGUGGGCGCCAACUGUCGUGGAAUUGUCACGACAGAUGUCCUAGUGAAAGGACUUAGUCGUGGAGCCAUCGCAACUAGAAAGCUUAAAGGGGUUAAAACAGGACAAAGGACAUGGGGGUUUAUACUGGUUUGGCCCCUUGCGGUGAAGGUAAUGGAUUAAUCAGUUUGAGGUGGGAUUGCUUAUGUCUCGAUUAACAGGGAGCGAAUCUGCUUGACCUAGUUCUCGAUCUGAUGUUACUUGUCUUGAACCGCCGCCGGGUCAUCCCUUUAUAUACAGAGGUCGACGCCCAGCGGCUCACAGAGUCCCAGCCGGUUCAUAAACAGUGUCCGGCUCAGUCUCUUUCUAUUCUUGCCUUACAAUACAAGUUACAUACAUAUGACAGUUUAUCUCUACGGGCCUUGAGUCGCCUUUGGGCUUGGGGCCCUUAACUGAACCGCCAUCUUCAAGUGUCGUCUUGGGCUUCAUAUCUUGAAUUGCCAUAGGCAUAACCCGGCCCCUCCUAGGCGGGUCAUACCUAAUAGUUAUAUCCCUAUCACUUUUACUUGGAAGCUCAACGAGUUCACACACCUCAUAACCAGGGAUACCCAAUCCUCUGAGAAUCCCAAUUGUUGCAUCACACUUUGAAGGUAUGUCCAUUCUACGCUAUCAUACACUUUCAUCAUAUCCAACUUCACAGCACACCACCCUUGUUUACCCUUCUUGCGCUUCAUUGAGUGAAUACAUUCAUAAGCGGUGAUGACAUUAUCCGUAAUCAGUCUUCCAGGGACAAACGCGCUUUGCUCCUCUUCAAUAAUUUCAUCAAGUAUAUCUCGAAGACGAUUAGCCAACACUUUUGAACACAACUUAUAGAUCACAUUACACAAAGAAAUGGGCCUAUAUUGUGUGAUGUUUCUCGGGUUCUUUACAUUGGGUAUCAAUACAAUAAUAGUUUUUUUCAUGAUUUCGGGCAUAUGACCCCCAUGUAAGAAACCCAGAACUGCAGUCGUUUGAAUGCGGCGACGAGGCGUGUUCAGUUGGGCGUGCCCUUGGCGGAGGCAGUGAGAGGUUGCAUCUGCUCUGAACCGGCUACAAUGCGGAGCGACCACUCUACAUUGGCAUGAAUGUAGGCAGCUGGCGCCGAGAGGGAACAUGCGCGGGCGAGAGAUGAGGGUUUUGGGUGGGUCAGGGUGGUUAGAAGCGGUCGUCAGUGAUGUCCGGACGUUCGCAAAGCCCUCCACCCCCACCCCACGUUUGCCUCUGGUUUGCGGGAGAAAGUGCGCCCAGACCGCCCUGUGGACUGACCAUGCCCCCGUUGGAUGGCAUAACACGUUCAGACUGUGCGAUCCGUACGUAUGCGGGCGAUUUGAGGCUCGGCGUUGAAGAUGCCCUUAGCGGGUAGGGCAAACUCUUCCUUCUAAGUUUAUCUAAUGAUUUUAUGGAUUCGCUUUCCCUUUGCAUGUCGCUUCGGCGACCAAUGGUGGGGAGUGUAAUGUGGGUGCCUCUACUUUGGCUAAUAGUUUAUGUUAUAUAUAUGUAUAUAUUUUUUUUUCUUCCUUAUAGAUGCAGGGAAGAUGACAUCAUUUGUUUGAGUUGGGUUCCGAUCCUUCUCGAGUUAGUCCAUCUGGACGUAACUAAUGAAGCUUUGAUUUAAAUUUCUUCCUUCUCCUUGAAACGGCGAGGUUAGGGUUUCUCGUCGUGUGUGAGAUGGCGAGAUUUGGUGCUAGGUGUUUCUGAUCUAUUGAAGGGUUCAAAGACAACGGCUACCACUCUAUGACACUGGUCCUUAGGGAUAAGUGCACGAAGGUUUUCGGCUGUCAUCGACAAGGUUAGAGGAGCUAUGACAAUGAUGUGACAGCGGUAAUGGCCAUUUACUAGUCUAGGACAAUUGAUGUAAUUUUAUUGUGCUCAUCAAUUUUUAUAAUAGAUUCAGAUACUUUAAAACAUGUUAUUAACGAAAAUAUGUUACUACCCUAAAAAAACGAAAAUAUGUUACUGUAGUGUGAUAGGUAACCUCCCCAUGACGAAUUGAACGUAAUCAGUGCUCCCCACAUGACAAAUAUCUUGCCAAAAUCAAGAAGAGGCACGUAGCGGAUAAGGUCACGGUCAAGAUAUUUCGGUCGACCACGUGGGGUCGACCAAGUUGACACCCCAGGCAGGCAGGCUAGCUAGCAUAGCGCCACCAGCAGCACAGCAGCACGAGCGAUGCCCUGAACCUUGAAAAUUGAAACUCGCUGCAGUACAAAUCAGUGAGCCGUUACGGUCACAUGCAUCUCUCGGACAAAAUAGUCAAGGGGCAGCACUGCUCUCGUGGUAUUUGGUUCACUGUCACCCGGUCAGUGAUAUUUGGUUCAUUUGUUCAAAAGUUGUCUUCAAAUAUGCCCUCGGCCAUCUCCCUUGCCCUUGGUGGUGAAUCACUCCAGUCGUUUUCGUUCUACGGAGCACUCGUGUGGCUACUUGCUAGUGCCGUGUCGGCACAGGCAGCAUGGGCCACAUCACAGCCCGCAAGUGGUCAUUUAUUUUCCCAAGACAAAUUAACAUGUGCGGCAAGGCGCCGGUAUUGACAGAGCACAGAUGAUGGGUUUGGUUCGCCUAUAAAUACUUUCCAACUUCCCAUGUUCUCUUCACACACUCACACUCACACUCAAGAAGAAGAAGAAGAAGAAGAAGAAGAAGCAAGAAGAGGAGGAAGGACGACAGAGAAAGAAGAGCCAUGGAGCACUCCUACAGCAGCUACAGCGGCAUCAGCAACUACGGCAGCGCAAAGGAGAGGAGGCCUGCGCUGAAGAGGGGGCAGCUGAAGCGGCAGAUCGUGAGGACCAUCAGCAACCUCAUGGCGCCGAGGAACGACGGCGCCGGCGCGGACAAGAGGGCAUCAGGUCGCACCAGCAUCGGCGCCUACAACUGACGCUGAGGACGCCAUCGAGUGUCAGAUGCACUCGCACGGACGCCCGCUUCCUUCAGACCUGAUUAGCUUUUUUACUUUGUAGCUUCAUACUGGACUAGUACUGUUUUUCUUCCCAAGUCUUCUCCGAUUGUACAGAGUUCUGCGAUUGUACAGAUGAAUAGAGAGGUUAUAUGCAAUUUCGUGUGCAGUGUACUAUCACUUUGUGAUGCACUACUCCUUUUUUUUUCUCCUUGAACGCUAUAAUAUGGUUGUGCGCAGACCGCACAAGUGAACAAAUACAGACUGGAGGGAAAUCAGAGGCUGACAGUGUUAGAAAAUACGCAAAAGAUCA
rnacentral:lncRNA from 1 species